rfam:Schistosoma margrebowiei strain Zambia genome assembly, scaffold: SMRZ_scaffold0002883
GCACUGCUUAGGAGUCCUAAAAUAGGACGAAACGGCCGUCCAGUGC